UUUAUUCUUUGGAGGGAUCCUAUGGUUGGUUUUAUCUCCCGGGUAUUUAUGUCCCUUCACGACUUUCUUUUGCUAUGCUACAGCCUUAGCAUUAGGUUGUUAUGACAACCUGACACACUUCCUGCAACGACUUUUUUUUUUUGUUUUCUGUUUUUCCUUUCCUUCAAUGCAUUGGAAUCUGCAUUCGGGUUCCUUCAUGCUUGGACACGCCCUUAGUACACGCCCUUUGGGGGUUGGCUUAAGGGUAUAUAAUGGUUACACCAGGUAAGCUCACUUGCCAUUCACUCCUGGACACUGCAGCGGAUGGGUCUGCUAUCAGACCAUCCAGCUACUUCUGGCCAUUUCUGCCUGAUCUUCCAAUUCAUGGUCAUUUGGCAUACACUCUGCAAUUCUGCAUAAAAAUAUCUUCCUGGGAUAAACUUCUUGGAAAUGUAUUUUUCUUAUGGCAUGUGUUUAGAAUGAACUUUUGUUUAUUCACUCUGAGCUUUCUUUGCUGCGGACGUCCACCCAUGUGUGGAGGGAGACCAAGCCGGGUCCUUUUGGAGGAGGGGGAUGGAUCUCUUUUCUUUUAGAUGACAGACGCAUG